AGAGUUUGAUCAUGGCUCAGAACGAACGCUGGCGGCAGGCUUAACACAUGCAAGUCGAACGCCCCGCAAGGGGAGUGGCAGACGGGUGAGUAACGCGUGGGAAUCUACCCAGAUCUUCGGAAUAACCCAGGGAAACUUGGACUAAUACCGGAUACGCCCUACGGGGGAAAGAUUUAUCGGUUCUGGAUGAGCCCGCGUUGGAUUAGCUAGUUGGUGGGGUAAUGGCCUACCAAGGCGACGAUCCAUAGCUGGUCUGAGAGGAUGAUCAGCCACACUGGGACUGAGACACGGCCCAGACUCCUACGGGAGGCAGCAGUGGGGAAUAUUGGACAAUGGGCGAAAGCCUGAUCCAGCCAUGCCGCGUGAGUGAUGAAGGCCUUAGGGUUGUAAAGCUCUUUCAGUGGGGAAGAUAAUGACGGUACCCACAGAAGAAGCCCCGGCUAACUUCGUGCCAGCCGCCGCGGUAAUAC
rnacentral:rRNA from 1 species